rnacentral:rRNA from 1 species
CAGCAGCCACGGUAAUACGAAGGGUGCAAGCGUUAAUCGGAAUUACUGGGCGUAAAGCGUGCGUAGGCGGUGAGUUAAGUCUGCUGUGAAAUCCCCGGGCUUAGCCUGGGAACUGCAUUUGUGACUGGCGGGCUAGAGUAUGGCAGAGGGGGGUAGAAUUCCACGUGUAGCAGUGAAAUGCGUAGAGAUGUGGAGGAAUACCGAUGGCGAAGGCAGCCCCCUGGGCCAAUACUGACACUCAUGCACGAAAGCGUGGGGAGCAAACAGGAUUAGAUACCCCAGUAGUCCCUGUCUCUUAUAC